rnacentral:rRNA from 1 species
CGGGGUGAGUAACGCGUGGAUAACCUGCCUCACACUGGGGGAUAACAGUUAGAAAUGGCUGCUAAUACCGCAUAAGCGCACAGUACCGCAUGGUACGGUGUGAAGAACCCAGGUGGUGUGAGAUGGAUCCGCGUCUGAUUAGCCAGUUGGCGGGGUAACGGCCCACCAAAGCGACGAUCAGUAGCCGACCUGAGAGGGUGACCGGCCACAUUGGGACUGAGACACGGCCCAA